CGGAGCUCGGCCGGGGGCAGCGGCGGGCGCGCAGGGGCUGCCCGGGUCUCCCCAGGGACACAUAAGGGAGCCUUGCUCUCCUGAAGAUAAACAAAAAUAAUAUAUAUAUAAAAAAAACCCAACUCUUUUUGAACUUUUCUGCUCGGUUUAAGCGCUGCAGGUGGGUAAGGAGGGCGACACCUUUACCUUCCAGGACAUUGUAAACACUCACAAGCUAUUACAGCUCAGAAUCAUCACUCCAACACAAAGCAAAAGGGGUUGAAUCCAGCUCGCCGAAAGGACAGCACUGGGAAUGACGGUCUUACUCUGAAGUGAUACUGGAGCAGAGCAGCUCCAGUCCUUGCAGGAAAGGACAGGGCUACAGCAGCACUGGGGGCGUACAGGAUGGCAUGCAGCACCGGAGCAAACCAACAUGAGGAGGUGACAACAUGGCCAGGUGAUAACUGUGGGGUACAAGAGCAGCACUGGCUCUGCUGGCAGGAGUCACUUGGAAGGAGGGGACGUGGCCUCAGCAUCCCCACAAGAACUGGGCCCUGUUCACCUUGUUCAGCAUCAAUCAGCAUCCCUCUCUCCUGACCACAUCCCUGCGUGUCCCUCCUGACUUGCUGAGGACCAGCAUCACCUUGCACCUUCAUCUUCAAGGGGUGAACAAGGAGCAGAUCUUCUGACUGACAAGAGCUUUCUGUCCACCCAUUCCUUUUCUGUUUAGCCUGAGAAGCACCCAGAAAUGCUCCUAGGUUCAGGCCUAUCCACCAGCAGUGGAAGAUCAGCACUCAGCGGAGCAGUCACGGCUGCCUUUCCGUGCCACUCGGAGGCAACCUUCCUUCCUGCUCCCAUUCCCCAGCAUCUCCUUGGCCUUCAGACGGCUUUCGAAGCUCACAGACAGGCGAUGCCGAGCCAUGGGAACCUCCCACUCCCACUUUCUCCCUAAUAUUUCCACAGUGAGUAAAUCUCCAUCCUUUUAGGGCUCUCAAAUCUAUUAUUUUUAUAUUUGCAGUGGAUUCCUUGGCCCUGUUAUUAAUGAAAACCUCCAGGAAAGCUCCUCAAAUACAGCUUUGACUUUCUGCCCAGGACCUGUGGACAAGGAAUAAAAAAAAAAAAAAAAAAAGGCAACAUUAAUAAAGCAGGAGGUUUCUAUUAAGUCUGAGGGACUGGACGCUCUGGCUUUCUUGGAUGCUGAAAUCCUCUAGUGCAGGAUAAAUCUUAUACACUUCAUUUUCCCAAUCUCUCCUUCAAUAUAUUUUAAGAGAGCGUUGCUAGUAUCAGAGUAAAUAAUGUCCUAACUGCAAACGUGGGGUCUGCAGAGUGGCGUGGGUCAGCUUGUGGGCUGUGGCAUCCUCCACUGUGGUCUGCUUGUGGUCUCAGCCCUCUCUCCGUAAUCGGGAGGUUGAGCUUGGAGAGGUUUUAAUUAGCCACGAAUACAAAUAACAAGCAAUUCCUUGGAGGCUGGGGAAGGAAGUGGGUGAGCUAACAUUAUGGAGAUGUGCACUAAGUCACAAAAUAUGCAAAUCAACAAGCUCUGUAACCGACACCACCUUGGUGUGAGCAAACCUCCCCCAGCCCUCUUUCCUUCUAGCAAGAUGCAUUUCCCAUCUGCCUGCAAGGGAACUCUCCAUUUGCAGGCUCUGCUGUCGUCUUCGCACAGC